UACGUAGGGAGCGAGCGUUGUCCGGAUUUAUUGGGCGUAAAGCGUCCGCAGGCGGCUUGGUCAGUCGGAUGUGAAAUCUCCAGGCUCAACCUGGAGCGUGCAUUCGAUACUGCCAUGGCUAGAGUCUGGUAGGGGAGUGCGGAAUACCUGGUGUAGCGGUGAAAUGCGCAGAUAUCAGGUGGAACACCGGUGGCGAAAGCGGCACUCUGGGCCAGUACUGACGCUCAGGGACGAAAGCGUGGGGAGCGAACAGG
rnacentral:rRNA from 1 species